rnacentral:lncRNA from 1 species
UGAUAUAUUCAUCAAACUUUUUUAUAGCAUGGUGUUGAUAAAUUUAUGGCAAGAUUGAAGAAUGGUGAUAAAAUUAUCAGACAUUUUGAUUUUAACAUCGUGAUGUUUAUAUAUCUAUUAAGUGCAUUUAUAUUUUCAUUCUUGAUUGUUUAGCAUGAAUAGUUUGGAACUUACAGAGGGGAAAUUCUAGUCAGGUCAUCCUAUUUGUUUGUUUUAGUCACUUGGGUGGGAAUAGACUAUUUAUCCAUUGCAUGAGACUGUGAGCUAUAUUGAUUUCACCAUAUUGGUGUUUAGUGAAAAUCCUAGUUUCCUUCUUCACAAGCUAAACAUAGUAAUUUAAAACACUAUGAUUCUAUUGAUUUCAUAUCAUAUUAUACUAUCAUGAGCUGAUGUGAUGUUACAAUGAACAAUAUUCUCCGGAGAAAAUGAGUGUUUACUUGGACUCCUUUUACAGGUGAUGAAUGAAGGACCUGGACAUAUCCCAAUGCACAAGAUUCCUGAAAACAUGCAAAAACAACUAGAAUGGUGCAAUGAAGCACCAUUCUACACUCUUGGCCCUUUAACAACUGAUAUUGCUCCUGGUUAUGAUCACAUCACCUCUGCAAUUGGCGCUGCCAAUAUUGGGGCACUGGGUACUGCUCUUCUCUGUUAUGUGACUCCGAAAGAACACCUUGGACUGCCGAACCGGGAUGAUGUGAAGGCUGGAGUUAUAGCAUACAAGAUAGCUGCUCAUGCUGCUGAUUUAGCCAAGUGUCACCCACUUGCUCAAG